UUGGGUUAAGUCCCGCAAUGAGCGCAACCCUCGCCUCUAGUUGCCAGCAUUCGGUUGGGCACUCUAGAGGGACUGCCGGCGACAAGUCGGAGGAAGUGGGAUGACGUCAAAUCAUCAUGCCCCUUAUGACCUGGGCUACACACGUGCUACAAUGGGCGGUACAAAGGGCUGCGAACCCGCGAGGGGGAGCGAAUCCCAAAAAGCCGCUCUCAGUUCGGAUUGCAGGCUGCAACUCGCCUGCAUGGAGCCGGAAUCGCUAGUAAUCGCGGAUCAGCAUGCCGCGGUGAAUACGUUCCCGGGCCUU
rnacentral:rRNA from 1 species